rnacentral:lncRNA from 1 species
UUCUUCCUGCUGUGACGUGGCAUAUCGAAAAGGUCCUGUGGAGGUGGUGUCCUGACCAGACAUCCUCAACAAGGAGCAUCAGAACGAGGCAGUACUAGAAUAUAUAUUGCGAUGGUGGUGAACAAGAUUAAAGAUGGAGAAGACAGGCUUAAUCAAGAUAGAGAUCAAUAGGUUUGAUGGAAAGAGUAAUUUCUCCUUGUGGCAGAUAAGGGUGAAGGAUGC